rnacentral:rRNA from 1 species
GAUGAACGCUGGCGGCGUGCCUAAUACAUGCAAGUCGAGCGAACAGAUAAGGAGCUUGCUCCUUUGACGUUAGCGGCGGACGGGUGAGUAACACGUGGAUAACCUACCUAUAAGACUGGGAUAACUUCGGGAAACCGGGGCUAAUACCGGAUAACAUAUUGAACCGCAUGGUUCAAUAGUGAAAGGCGGCUUUGCUGCCACUUAUAGAUGGAUCCGCGCCGUAUUAGCUAGUUGGUAAGGUAACGGCUUACCAAGGCAACGAUACGUAGCCGACCUGAGAGGGUGAUCGGCCACACUGGAACUGAGACACGGUCCAGACUCCUACGGGAGGCAGCAGUAGGGAAUCUUCCGCAAUGGGCGAAAGCCUGACGGAGCAACGCCGCGUGAGUGAUGAAGGUCUUCGGAUCGUAAAACUCUGUUAUCAGGGAAGAACAAAUGUGUAAGUAACUGUGCACAUCUUGACGGUACCUGAUCAGAAAGCCACGGCUAACUACGUG